GCCUGGGUGGCUCAGUGGUUGAGCAUCUGUCUUUGGCUCAGGACGGGAUCCUGGGGUCCGGGAUUGAGUCCCGCACUGGGCU
rnacentral:tRNA from 1 species